ensembl:lncRNA
CAGAAUGUAUUUUCUUUCUUCUCAAAAUAUGAAAUCUAAAUCUUAAAUUUUCUUCAAGGAUUUUAUGUCUCCAGAAGCUCAAGUUACUGGGUUAGUACAGUCAAGAAAACAGAGAUCAGCUCUGACGCUUCUUUUUAAGUUGUCAUCUCAGAUGUAGUCAUAAAGUAUGGUUGACAAAAUGAGGUGAAAAGAAAUGUCUGAGGAGAGAAAAUUGCAUUCUCUAAAUCAGCAGUGUUUAAACUUCCACAUAGUUCUUCAAUUUAAAAAGUUUUUCCACUAAAGACACAAUUGGGCCCCAGAUUCAUGACACCUCAUGAAAAGAGCAGAUUUUGAAAGAGGAGAUACAUUAACACUCCAGUAUUGAAUUGCUUCACUGUUACGGAAUCAGAACUUUCAACAUCUACGCACAGCCUACGGACAGAAAUUUACAACUAAAUGCAGAACCGUCCCUGGAAGGAACAAAGCAUAUGGCACUGGUUGACUGGAAGACAGAAGGAAGGUUCAGGACUGGUAGAACUGCAUUCCUUCAACCCACAAGAUUUGUAAAAUGGGGAAGAAACCGACAAGAGAAAAAGGAAAUAAAGUAUGAACUUGAAAUAAUUUGAAGUGGAGAAAUGCACUAAAAUGUUUGUUUUUCUUUUAUGCACAAGUUAAUUUUAAAUUAUUAUUGAAAAAGUACCUUCAGGAGUGUCGUAAAACCGAUUGUAUAUCUUUUAGCCUAAGUUGUAUUGUUUAUAAGUUCCUCAUACUUUUUUACUUUUCUUUCAUUAUACUUGACAAUUUUCACUUGAAUAUAUAUAUUUAUAUAUGUGUGUGUAUAUAUACAUGGAUUUGCUUUUCAUAUUCAUUAAACUUGCGUAGUACUACGGUAGAAGGUGUAUAGAUAACAAAUUACAAAAGAUAUGUAGAUUUUGGUAAUGCAUACAACAUACAUAAGAACACAACAAUCAAACACAACAUAUCAAAACUGAAUGCUCUCCUAUGAAUUCUAGAUGAAGAGAUCAAUUAACAAUUUUAAUUUUGCUAUCUGACAGAGUAAACACAUAAACAUAAGGUGUGUUUGCUUUGUCCAAUUUCCAUUGUUUAGUGUGGUUUUUUUUCCCCAAACACAUAUGUGUUCAUUAUUGAAGUUCUAUAUUUCUGUUCUAAUGAGAAAAAUCCAUAAGCAUUCUUGCUAUUUUUCUGUGAACUGGUUUAAAUUUCAAUUGUAUUCCUGCUAAUAAUAAGAGCAAUGAUUUUUAAGAGUUGCACUGCAACCAUUAUGUCACCAGGUAACUCCAAACCUUCAAGACUGUUUUGUUUCUAUUUGCUUUCCUGCUCUAUCAAGGUCCAUCACAUUUAUAGCCAAUUGUAUAUAUCUGAAGAUAUUAGUAUAUUAGUAUACAUCUGAAGUUACUAUUUGGUAUACUUUCCAAUCCAAACACAUUUUCAGAUGACAUUCUAGCUUUGUAUGUAUGGAAAUGAAAAUGUUAUUCUAACAUAAAUUUAAUGUUUCUUGUACUUUUCUGAUGCAUAAAUUAAGGUGUGAAAUAUAUUUAAAUUCUAAUACAAUCAAUGAGGUAACUGCAGAAGAACAGUAGGAAAACAAUAAAGAGGGAUAUAAUAACAAUUCAUGUGCCCGUAUGAAUAUUACAACAUUGUAGAUAUAAAUUGCCUUUCAGGUAUGACCUAGAUUUUUUUUUCCUUAGGUAAUGCUUAUAUCAAAAUACUAAUUGUUAACAUUACUUACUUGAGUAUAUCUAAUUAUAUUCUCUUUUCUGUGUUAUUUCUCCAGGAGCAAGUUGUUCUUUAACCUCAUGAUAAGGUUGAGUUAUAGUUCAUUAUUUUAGGAAUACAGGUAAUAACAAGUAAAUACUCAGAAAUGUUUUAUACAAUAUGUUUAGAAAUAGACAUGCACAUAAAGACACAGGAGGUUAUUAAUCUCUUCCCUUAACUCAGAAUUCUAGAAUUGACAAGUGAAACAAUGUGUCAGGAAAUAUUUUUUUUAUACCGGAUGCAAAAACUUCUAGUCUAGUCUUGGUUCCACUUCAUUGGUAUUACUACUUAUUUAUGGUGUUUAUUUACAUAUAAUUUAUUAGGCAUAAACAUCCAGAUAAUAAGUGUGAUCAUUACAAGUGCCUCAUUGCACUAGAUAACAUCUUAAAACUUUAAAAUCUGACAUUAAAACCAGAAACUACAUAAUGUCCCAGGAAGUUCUUGCUUUUUAAUGUUUCUAAUUAUUUACAUAGUUAUAAACCUAGGAAGCUGAACUUAAAAUCUGAAAAUCAUUGUCUAUCAGUCAAGGAGUUUUCAAACUCACAAGUUUAGAAAUCUUGCUUUUAAAUAUGCUUCAGCAAGUUUUUAAAACUUUAUCUGUUUUCAUUUUAUUAUUUUUCUUUUUCUUUCCAAAAAGCAUUCCAAAUUCACAAAUCCUUCUGAAUCCUUAUAAAUCAUGGAAUUAGAAUAAAUCUUGCAGUCCACUGAAAAUCUGAUUAUAUGUUAUACAUUACACAAAAUCAUUGUUUACCACAGAUGAACUUUACAUUUUUCAUUUACAGCGAGAUGCCAGUGGCUAUAUAAAAGAAAUCAAGACAAAAAGCCUAAAAUUUGUAGGAUUCAUCAAAGGAUGAAAGUAGUCAAUGUCCUUGAUCCUUUAACAGGAUCCAGCAAUACAGCAGCAAUGGGAAUUCUAUGCAAGCCUUUGAAAGUCUUGCACUAUAAUUUCCAACAAAAAUCGUUGCAUUCCCUUGUGCAUCUGUUUUUAAAAUUGGUCCAUGUGAACUUUGGCCAAUUAAUGUUAGCAGAUACUUAGAUAUUGUUUUCAGGGCUCAGAUGUUAAUUUGAAAGAAAAUAAAAAGAAAGAAUUCUCAUUGUCAAACAGCAAAUUCCCCAGAUUGCUCUUCCUUAACAUGUGAAUUUUUAGUUAGGGUUUUUUUUUUCUUUUUUUUUUUUUUUUUCCACAUAUGUAUUUCAGUACAUGCUGUCCUCAGAAUUGAAAUAAGAUCUUCAGCAUGGUAUUCAAGAUGACUUACCUUUUUUUUUUUUUUACCUUAUGUCUAG